CCCGGGAAGCGAGCGGCUGCAUUCCCUGUGCUGGAUGUGCCGAGCCCCGGAGCACUUGGGAAAUGCACAGACCGACGCGGGCUUUUUUGCUCUUAAUAGGCAGUAGGGAUGAUCUGUGUGCUGAGCCUCUUCCUAAGGGACAGGCAUCAUCCCAUGGUGAACUGAGCCUUGGAGCACGGAGGGAGCAGGAUGAGGACCCCGGGAGUGCUGCCUCAGCUCUGGUGACACAUCCCUUGUCUCCCAGAUUUACACUCUUAUCUUUUUGCAUUGAAAGCCCUGUGUGAAGACAGAGAAGGUGGCAGGAGAUGACAGCAGACAUGAGCGCAACGAGGGAGCCAGGGCUGUUCAGCCAAACCAUCCCCUGUGCGAGGGAUGCAGCAAAGGAUGCCACAAGGGAUGCUGCAAGGGAUGUCACGAGGGAUGCUGCAGAGGAUGCAAUGAGGGAUGCUGCCUCCUCCCGCUGCUAGCACAGGAGCUGAGUCCUGCUCCGGGCACCACGGCUCCUGGGGUGGCUUCAUCGCCCCCCAUGUUCAGGUCACAGGUUCCCAGAGCUUCCUGCAUCCCGGUGGGAAUGGGAGCAGGAUGAGGCCCUGCAUCUGCACUGCAUUGUGUUAUGGUGUGAUCUAUGGUGUCUGUCAGCGCCGCAGCACCGAGAGCUCCCGUGCACCUCUUUAAAGAACUCCAUUUACUGCUACAGUGAACACAGGCGGCUCGGCGGGGAAGGAUGGAGCCGAGGGGGAGCCUCUUUGUUUACCCAGACAGCUAAAAAGGACAACCUCACAAGAGAUGACAUUUACCCAGGUUGGGUUCGUUCGACUUCACACUGUCCAUUUUGGAUCUUGGAAUUCCUGCCUGGCUCCCUGGUGCAGAGCUGGCGGGGAAGGGGUGCUCCCGGCAGCCCUGGUGCCAAACACACCAAUUCUGGGCUAAACUGCCCCAAAGGGCAGCUGACUCCCUCUUCCCACUGUCUUCUUGCUGCUUUCUGCUGGAAAUGGGAUUUAUUGUCCCUCUUAUACAGAGGAAUAUUGAAGGGAACUUGUUGAAGAGCUGCCCUGGCUGCUGCUGGGGUGUGCUGAGACCCACUGCAGGGUUAAAUAAAACUGCAGGGAAACAAAUGAUUCCUAAAUGAACCUGUCCCUUAAUUCAUCAGUGAGAGCUCUGGAGGCAGUGCUCAGGUGCUCCCAGUUAUCAUCUGGCGGAGCUUUUCCCUGGGAACCUCAGUUCUCCCAUCCAGGUGUCAGCUGAUCAAGGUCAGCAGCAAAUAAAGGGAGGUUCAUCUUCAUCGCGUGAUGGUGAUGAGCUGGUGGUGCCCGGCGCUGAGAUGGGCAGUAGCAGCAGAUAUUUAGGGAGUGGGUUAAAUAAGACAUCACCGAGGGACAAAGUGGAGAUCUGCACAACUACUUGUUGCAAGAGGUACCAAAGCAUUGACUGAAGUUCUUUGCCCUACAUCAUAUAUAAGGGCACGUGUAUGUUUAACUGUAAGAUAGAUGUUAUACAGACAAUAGGAUUGGAUGUCAUAA